UAUUUACCCUCAACCUUUUACAGAAGAAAGCCUCCUGCUGUGUGAGGAAAGAGCCCAGAGCCUGCCAGUGCGCAGAGCUUGACUGGCUCUUCUCCCGAACGAAGUGCCACUCAGGAGACAACGAGAGGGACAGAGGCCGGGUGGACGCCGUUUGUUGCAGAGAAGGAAAACUCAGGAAACUCAGACCUGGUGCUCGAAGAGUAUCUGUGUGGAAGGACAAGGACCUGGACACUAGAUGAGAAAACAAAACCCUGGGAAAGGCGUACCGUCGCCUGUAAGAAAGGAGCCGCAGGUUGGACCCCCAGUCUGCGUCCGCAGC